rnacentral:sRNA from 1 species
AGAACAGGCCUUUCAGGCAUCCUCUCCUAAAAACUUUCAGGGCUGGCUUUCGGGCUGGCCCUUUUUUUGUCCGGCG